CGGGCAGAGUGAGAGCGGAAGGAAGGCAAAGACGGCUACCUUGCGUAUCACCACACAAAAGGCGCAAUCCCCGUAAAUGUGAUGGGGCAGGAACACAGACAUUCUCCCUCCAGCAGAAUCACGGUACCUCCAUUUUGGCAUGGGUCACAUUUUCUCGCACUGAAUUCAUUGAGGGUUUAUGGAGCACCUAUGAUGAACCAGGCACUGAGAUCACGAGGUUGAUAAGACACAUCGCAUGACAGGCAGUGAAACAGAGCCACAUGCCAUCUCUGUCAAUAGACCAGUGGACUUGGGAAAAGCUGUGUCUCUUUUGAGUACAAUUUGCCAAGAAAUUUACCCAAAGUACCUUUGCUGAAAACAGCUCAGAACAACAAAUGGAAACUAUGUCAUGGAUAUCCCUGGAAUCUUCUCUGACCAUAUGGAACAGAACAGAACAGCACCUCGGGCCUACGUCAUUUUCCUAAUUCCCAGAGCGCAGAUCUCUGGGUGAUGGUCUUUAUUCUGUGACACUCUGAGUUCUAAACUGUCCAAGACCUCUCAUCCGAGCUUAGCUGGCCAGAGCCCCUAUGUUUUGUACAGAAAGUGGGUGAAACUUCACUUUGUAAUGAGAACCAGAGUCUCAACACCAUCACCAUCCACAUCAGAACUGCUUCUUCUGCCCUUUCCUCUCGGGUUGACUCUACAAUGCUCUACCUCCUGAGAACUGAUAACCUGGCGUAGAUCCAGGACAAGUUCCCAGGGAAGACCAGCCUUACUGACAAUUCAAAUAUUUGAAUGGCCAGACCUACCACUGGCAACUCAAUGUCAAGUGGUAACAUGUCACUUGAACAUUGUUGUGGCCUUCCUGAGGUUCAUAACCGAGGUGUGUCAUCUCCUGAUGGACUCGGAGAAAAUCACCUAUCCUCCAAAUUCUACAGACCCCCUCCUGAGACCAGGCGCUUCGUCCAAAUGAUCUCGAGAUACUCAUGUCACACUUACCUUCUUUUAAGCUCAAGCAUGUUUCAAGCAGAAGGCAGACCUGGGAGCUGCUCCCCACCCCCACCCCCCGCCCUCGCAGACCCUCCACCACCCUAGCGCGGCAGGCAAGACUGAGGUGCCCCUUCCACCCAUCUUCAUUUAGAAACAUUUAAGCCAAAUACGGACCCAUAGCCUGCUGUCCGAGCCAGCUCAGAUUCUUCCACGAUCCUCUCACGGCAAGGGGAACGGAGAUCACCUUCACAAUCAACCUCAUCUGAAAAGUCUCCGCAGUCAUUGUCACCGUUACACAGAAGCCCCCUUUUGAUGCACCUGCCUGCAAUCAAAAUCAAGAAAGACACUGCGUGUCUAACGACAGAUUUCCUUUCUCUUCCUGAAGUUAGCAAAUGGACUUUAAUGAUAGAGGGGAGGGAACAGGCACACACUUGAAUUCUCAGAAGCACCCUUUACAGUUAUUUCUGAAUUCUUUUUUUUUUUUUACGGUAAAUCUAAAGAUGCCUUGUUUAUUAACUAACUUGUGGAAACCAGGAAUCAUUGUCUCUGAGGCUGCACCUGCCCCACGGAGGGGUGUGCUGUGCAGCAUUUACAGACAGCCCUUUGACCGGCCCCUUUCGCACUUGGAAACACGAGCGUGUAAAAGCAGGCUUCAUUCUUUUCGCUCUGUGGUGAGCAAGGGGGAUGCAGGGAUUACCUGUAUCGCAUUUAAAGUAAUUGCCACAGUCCUCCUCCAUGUCUGCACAGGCCUCAGUGGGCUCACACUGUCGUCUGUCUCCCACAGCGUCUAUGCACUUCUGCCCGUUGUAUUGUCCAAAGAUCUCAAUGCUCCUUGAGCGGAACUGUGUAAAACCAGCUGGAAAUAUUAGAAUUUCUAUGGCCAAAAGGGAUAAUGAUCUAAAACUGCAUCCACAACACUGUAGUCCUCCAGACCCAGUUGAGUCGAUGGUUUUAAGAUGGAAGCCCUAGCACUGGGUGUUAUAUGCAAACAAUGAAUCAUGGAACACUACAUAAAAAACUAAUGAUGUACUGUAUGGUGAUUAACAUAACAUAAUAAAAAAAAAAAAGAUGGA